GGGGGCUGGUGCCUGCCUGACACAAUUAGCUAUAGGGGAUGAGCUUCUGAACGUGCUCAAAAACCCCAGUUGCUUCCCCCAGCCAUAUGUCAAAGAUGAUAACCACAGCAGGGCAGCUCUGAAUCAACAGAUGCUUUGUUUCUCCGGGCUUUGGGAACCCUGUCUGCAGAGUGGAACUGCUGGAAGGCAGAGGGGAAUCGAGCCGCUAUCAAAGUCCUUUGAAAGAUUAAAGGAAGAAAGCACCAUAAUUGACGGAGAUCAGCCACAGGAAAUCUACCAAAAUUAUUCCAAAUUACCUCUGGGAGCAGCUUGGCAACUGCCUGAGGAAGCAGAACACAUUCAGCCAGAACUGCCCAGACCAGACUGCAGCUCCCUUCACGUCCGUAGGUUUGCAGAGCUCCAGGACAGGCACCAUGUUCUGCUGACCUCUGGGCGGCUUCACCUCGCACUGCAGCUCGCAGAAGUUCGCACGCUGAAGAUGUGUGUGGUAGGAUCGCCCUCUAAAGGGAAGAGCUGAGAAAACCUGAUCAAGUGACACAAAGUUAAGAGCACGGGCGUGGGUGAAGCAAUGACCACUUCUCACCCAGAGCCUUUGUUCUGCCUCCAAAAUACGCUUGUAAACAUUAUUUAUGCACUGCAAUCGUGAAUAAAUACAGCCAGACUACUGCACCCUUAGCUCAUGCCAUUCUCCUGAGCCAUUAACUCGUUGAGUCUGCCCCUGGCUGAGCAUCCAUCUAUAAGCUUCAGUAGACAGCUACUUUGUGGCUUGAGCAUCAUCCCUGCUACAAUUAAGAUUGUUCUCUCCUUCUAUAAUCUGAACUCUGCACGAAGCAGGAUUUCAGCUGCUUUAUUUUAAAACUUGAUGUCCCUCAGGGAUCUAAAGGGCUAAUUCUAGUUGCUGG
rnacentral:lncRNA from 1 species